GCGUACGGAGGUUGCAGAUACAUUAGUGAAACAUUGCAGUUCAUUUUGCAGGUAGCGGCAGUUGUAAGGAUUACCAUCAAAAGUAGGGAAACUGCUAAAUAGUAAUGAGAGCGUGGAGGUGGUGUAGGUUGUCGUCAGGCUUUCCACCGUUUUGAAAAGCUAGGUUAGGGUACUGGUUUCGAAGAAUAAUUUGUUUUUCGAAUGUCAAUAUUGACAUUCAGGGGGCGAGAAUGUCUACGAGUUUGAAUCAGGGAGCAGGAGAUUAUGUUGAAAUAACAGGUUCUGGACUUUUCAAAAACCAACCAUUGUAUUUUGUCAGUUCCGAAGAUGGAUUUCAAGAUCGCGCCAAACUCAAAAAUGGAUUCAAGAAUCUUUCAAAUGGACACAUUCUGACAUCUUCAGAUGAGGAAACGACUAAAACCGUUCAAAAUGGUGUUCAAA